rnacentral:misc_RNA from 1 species
GAAUAAAUCAAAAUCAUUUAAUAUUUUUUUAAUAAUUAAAUUCAUGUACACCAACUUCCUUUUUUAGAGUGCAUGAUUUAGAAAUGUCUUAUUUGUUAAAGCUUUUGUUUGUCCAUGUCUUAAUAGUUGUUAUGCAUCUUUUUUUCCUACAUAAUAUGCGCUUUAUGUUCAGUGUGAUGAUGGUUGUGUUUUUGUGUUGUAUUUUCACCUCACUGUGAUUAUCAAGACCAUCACGCAACACUAUUAUAUAUUCAGAUUUAUAAUAUCAUACUAGCUUGCCUACAAUUUUUCAUGCCAUUUGAUUUUUAUUAUUAUACAUGUACAACAUUUCUUUAUAUACAAUUUUAUGCAAAUUAAAUUUGU